rnacentral:lncRNA from 1 species
CAAGUUCACCACCCGAACACUAAUUAUAGUGCAUCCCCUCACAUGUGACCCUAAUCACCCCUUUUGCCCUCCCCCCUCCCCCCUUCCCCAAUGGUAACCACCAGUCCAAUCUCCAAUGCUAUGUGUUUUUUUUUUUUGUCGUUUUUAUCUUCUACUUAUGAGUGAGAUCAUAUGGUAUUUGACUUUCUCCCUCUGACUUAUUUCACUCAGUGUAAUACCCUCAAGGUCCAUCCAUGUUGUCACAAAGUGCAUAAUUUCUUUAGCAUCUGCCUCUCCCACUGGACUACAAAUACCCGAAGGACUGUUUUGUACAAACAGCAUCUAUACAAAUAAGUGCUUAAAUUUUUGUAGAAUGAGCUAGCAGAUGAAUUAAUAAACAUAAAUAUUGCUGAAUUAAACAAAUGAAAUAUCAACCAAGGUUAAAUUCAAUCUUCGUUCAAAAAGAAUUUGUGAGCUCUGAGUCAACGGGAUAUUCUUAAGGCUGAGUCCAGCAGUCCUUCAGUAGGAGAGGCAGUGAACAUGCCUAGGGACUUACUAUCUUGGUUGUUUCCUGAAUUUUCCGGAUUCUUAAUACCUCUUCCAGAAUACGGUUUUCAGCACCUUGUUUCUUGACUCUGCUGUUUCAUGAUGGUUAACCUAACGCUUGAACAACAGACAGCUGCGUAGUACUUCCUGGUUUCGUCUCUGGCCUCCAGUCACAAGGAUAUGCCAAGUCCAUGAAAAGACCAGAUGGAGUCUAAAUCCAACGACGAGUACCCUUAUAAGAGACACACAGAGGAGAAGAUAGACACGGAGGAACAGGCAACGUGGAGAUGGAGACAGAGCCGGGAGUGAUUGACUAUAAGUCAAGAAAUGCCAACAGCUACCAGAAGUUGGAAGAGGCAAGGAAUACGUUCUCCCCUAGCGACUCUGGGAGGUUGCAUGGUUCAUACUAUUUCUAGAUAUUGAAGUCUUCAUUAUUUAUUAACGUAUUUCUGGAGGUGGAAGCUGGGUGAAAAUGGUCUGAACAUUGUUUAACACUUUGGAAGCAUAUUGCCAAAUUGCUCCUUGAAAGACCCUACUGAUUUACAUUCUCACCUGCAGGGCUUAUCCUCACUGGGGCCCCCUGAGCAACUCUAGAAAAAUGUCAAUUGCUUGUUUCCAUUUGAAGCCAGAGAAUUGUUCCUAUAUUGAUGAAAAAGCUACACGAGAUCACAGAACAUAUAAAAGAGCCUGGUCCUCAAUCAGAAAAUUUAGAAAAGAAAGAAAAACAGACGAUAGUCCUUUUCUAUUGAAGCUUUCUA